ensembl:lncRNA
CAAGCACUGAGGAAUGGCGGUAAUAUAGGAUCAGACUUCAGGGCGAUCAGAUCGCAUCCCAGCAGUGCCCAUCUUGUCUGAGAGAUGCCAGAUGGGCAACAGAUUGCUCCAGAGGUCACAGCAGCCUCAUGCUUCACUCCGAGAUGCAGUCAAUAAACAGAUAUUCACCAUUUAAUUAUGCCUUAUUUGUAUGGUACAUAGCUCACAUUCACUGGAAUUUGCCAGGUACUCCAGUGUAUGACCAAAAUUGGGCCGAGAGAAACACUCUUCCAUACAGACACAAACAUUCCAAGUGACUUUGCCCACAGAUGAACGUUUUCUUUUUAAGUGGGACUGGAUAGCUAUUAAACUCAGUGUAACACUGCUCUUAAGAGAGUCAGGGAUGAUGGAUUAACUCAGAGACUGGCUAGCAACAUCUCGGUUUCCAUUCUGUAGCACAGUGGUUUGCAAGUAAACACUAAGAAGAUAACAGAGGUUAUGGAGUGAGUGAUUAUUGUCAGUAAACCAUUACACUGCAAUAUCAUGUAAGGGGCUAUUUUAGGAAUCACAGUCUUGGCAUCUGUGAUUUAUCCCUGCUAGCAGAGGUUGGAGGUUUGAAAUACCACCACAAUAUUUUCCCCUUAAAAAACACAGUGAACUUGUUAAAUAUGGAAAACUGGCAUGGAGGACACAAUGCAAGCUCAACUUUCCCAAUGCGUCCUUAAAAAAAUUUAUGAGUUUCAAGUGUUCUGCCAUUCGGUUAUAAAAAUGUUCCCAUAGAAACAGUCAUGCAACACAACUUUUUGCUAUAAACACACUGAAGGGUCUAAACUGACUGCUGCGUGUUCACUCUGCUCUGAUGUGGAGCAAAAAAGCCUCCUCCACUCCCUGCCAUCCAGGUUGCCUGGCUGUUAGAAUAAUAGCACACUUUGGCUCGUGUAUAGAGAUCUCCUCAGUUAAGCUCCAAAUGAAAUAAAGAUAUUAAAGAGGUUAAUGUUAUUUUGCAGGAAUUAGAUAAUCCAGUUUAAUUACUCAGCAUUUAAUCUCUCCCAGUUGCCCGUGAUUUGCAUACAUGAUACCAGGAGAAUGGAUAGCUGAAGCAAACCAAAUGCUGAAGACUGACAAAGUUGGACUAAUGGAAAUAAGCACGCUGGCACUAUCUGACCAAGUUCCUGGUUUCCUGCUGGUCUCAGUGCCAACCCAUCCCAGUGUGUCUGAUUUUGUACCUCCAGGUGCGGUGGAAGAGCUUCAAAAUUAGAAAACACCAAUGCUGGCCAAACUGGAAAUGCUCAGCAGCCUCAUCUAAGGUCAACCCAUUGCUCAACCGCUGCGAUGCUGCCUAUACUUAAAGAGCAGCCUGCCAGCUUUAUCAGAACUUCAGUGUGGUGUGGAAAUGCCUUUUCCUUCAUUAUUUUCCUGCAGACAUACUGCCUGUAAAAACUGCCAGCUGGAUGGUCUCGGAAGUGGAGGCUAUUCACUGUGCAGAGCACACGCUGUCACACAGUGAUGCCAGGUGGAGGGUGGGGUAGAAAGGUUCCUGGGCUGUGCUUUUUGGCCAAGAGUUUCCCUUCUUUGCUAUCACUGGUUUUGCUCCAUUUGUGGUAAUAACAGUGGAGAGCAAUUGUUCAGGAGGCACUCAAAGGUGGUGCUUUUGCCAGUGUCACCUACAGAAAUGUAAAACAAAACACAACAGUAUCCGCUGGCUCCCAGGCUUUUAGAGUAGCACCAUUGACCACCACCACUGAUGGAACCAGCCCAGGAAUACCAAUUACUUUAGUUUUUUUUUUCCUACAGAAUUUAGAUGAGGCCACUCUGGUUCAUCUUUGAGCUGAAAGUACAAAUUCCACAUCUAAUGAAUGUUCAGCCUGUCAUCCAACUCGUGCUUCUUGCUCAGGUCAUUGGUAUUGCUGUCUGGUAUCACCACCUUCUGAUGGCAUAAGAUUGCCCUGCAUUACAACAAAAGCCUUGGUUAAACAGAGUAGAUCUGAUUAUUUGAAGGAAGCUCUUCCUUAUGUACUUUGGAUACUCGUUUUCCCUGGUCAUAGCACUAGAUCAUUUAUUCACUGAAAAUCUCCAUGGAAGUUUGCAGCAGAGAUGUAGGAAAUUAAGCCUUUCCCUGGGACUCAGCAGUAAGUGCACGUCAUAGCGGAGGCUGCUAUGCAGUCAGUAAGUCACUUUGGAAACUGCUGCCCAUGUAUGCCCCGAAUUCC